AGAGGCUGGCGCUCUAUUGCUGCAGCUGCAGAGGGGGGGCGAACAGGUGGAUGGAGGGAGAGAGGCUGGCGCUCUAUUGCUGCAGCUGCAGAGGGGGCGAACAGGUGGAUGGAGGGAGAGAGGCUGGCGCUCUAUUGCUGCAGCUGCAGAGGGGGCGAACAGGUGGAUGGAGGGAGGGAGGCUGGCGCUCUAUUGCUGCAGCUGCAGAGUGGGCGAACAGGUGGAUGGAGGGAGAGAGGCUGGCGCUCUAUUGCUGCAGCUGCAGAGGGGGCGAACAGGUGGAUGGAGGGAGAGAGGCUGGCGCUCUAUUGCUGCAGCUGCAGAGGGGGCGAACAGGUGGAUGGAGGGAGAGAGGCUGGCGCUCUAGCUGCAGCUGCAGAGGGGGCGAACAGGUGGAUGGAGGGAGAGAGGCUGGCGCUCUAUUGCUGCAGCUGCAGAGGGGGCGAACAGGUGGAUGGAGGGAGAGAGAGAGACACCAAGGCAAUUCAAUAUUAUUUAUCAUCCUAUAUAACAGUGCCUGUCUUGACUGGAGUAGUCUAGAGAAGCUAGCCAGCUAUAGCUAGCUAGGCUAAUUGAGGCCACAUGCUGUGCUUUUCCCCCAACCACAUUCAGAUAAAACAACAGUCUACCUGUUGGUUGUUAUUCUUUCUCAUUUCGCUACAUUUUAAUUCAGUAAUUUUAUUCCAUCUUGCAUUGCAUAAGUGAACUUUCAUUCCACUUGUUACACAUUUAGCCUCUUUUCCACAUUGAUUGGCCUACAUAAACAACAAGCUACACAUGGCUACCGGUCGGCUGCCGGUCUUUUUAUGAGGUGUACUGUGCACGUCAUAAAAACAACAUAAAAAAGUUAGUUUUAUUAAAUUAAUAAUUUGAAAUGGCAUGGUAUAUCCUUGUAUGUAACAAUGUCCCAUGGAUAUUUUAAUUUAGAAAAAUAAUUUUCUGUGUAAAAUAGGCCUAUAUUUCUUUCUUCUCACAAAAUUGUAUACUCACACAAGUAUUCGAAUACUAACGUCUGUUCGAAUAUUCGAAUAACCAUGCACAUCCCUAACUGGGAGGAACUACCUCUCCUGGUCCAAUAAUACAUGCUAAUUUCAGUUUCUUGUUCCGAAACGUUUUGCUACUGUGUGCCCUAAUGAACACGGCCCUGGUAUUUAGAAGUUGUGUGGGUUUGAAUGGAGCUGCUCUAUGAGUCAUACAGUACCACUGAAUGGAUGGACUCAAUGCAUCAUCACCACCACUUAGUAGUUUUUACGCUUUUAUUAUUCUUGAGGAGCGUAUACCCAGUUCUUGUUCCAUAGGUCAUUUGGAUUCCUUCAGAGUGGGGAUGGUAAGAAGUUCAGUCCCUUUUAGUAUCGGUUGUGCCUGUCUGCUGCCUACAACAAUGGAGAAAUGUACACACUUCGUAAGGGUGUGGUUCACAAAAUGUCACCACAUUUUCCCUCCCUUUGCUUGGGUCUAUAGUCACGCCAUGCACUUUCCUUCUAUGUCCUCUAGCUCAGGGCUCCGGGGUGAAGUUCCCCUAGAUCUAGGAUCAGCUUCCUCUCCCUCAAUCCUAACCUUAGCCAUUAGUCAGGAAAAUGCUAAACUGACCCAGGAUCAGCCUCUAGGUGCAACUUAACCCUACACCUAGCUCAGGACUAUGGUGGAUAGUGCGGCUGCACUGGGUCUGACCCUCAAGCCAUUUAAUCAGCUAUCUGAUUAACAACCCGACCACUAGACGAGGGACAUUUCUACCGUUUAUCAAUACCGUUAAUAACAUGCAACUAAUGAAUCCUGUGUUGCUCGUCAUUCGAGUUUUCUAUUGAUGCUUCAAAUCUCCCUGAGUGAUCACAUUACAAAUGUUGUGCUUUUUUUGUUUAAUGAACUUACAAAGUUAGUCAUGGAAUGAGAAUGAGGUAUACUUUUGAUAAUUUAACACCGGCUCUCGUAUUUAAAAUGCACAAGUCCUCUGACAGAAUCAUUAUUUCAACUGUUGUUUUCUGUUCACGGUAGAAUGCAUUGUCACUAUUAUAACUCAGUGUGUUUGUCUGAAUACAAACGGAGGCAUCUUGUUUAGUUGUUCUGCAUGAUGUAGAUCUUGUUGAUGAUGGAACUUUGACAUUCAUUUUAAACCACUCUGUUCUAUUUUGUGUGAGGAAAGCUGUUGAGAAAAUGUCGGUUUUUGUUAUGUUUAUGAAUUGAUUCAGUAAUUCUAAAGGAGAUGAUUGGCGUUAAGCCAGGUUCAUAGAAUUGUAUGAUAUGUUUGAUAGUGCUUGAGUCUUUACAUUCAAAAAUCAUCAAUGGAAGAUCGCUGCUGUAAUGUUUUGCUUUUCAAAGCUGAAUGAUAUGAAAUGGGUUGCGUUGAUGUGUAAAUGGUCACAAUAUUUAGUGACAUUUUACAUUUCUAUGAGCAGUCCCUGUUUCUAUAUUUUUGUUAAUAAAAAUAAUUUAAGAAUG